UGGACGAAUGAUGACGACGGGUGGCGUGUGAGUCGUGGACAAUGAGUGCUGUGUCAGGAAUGCUGGGUCCGA